GCCAGUGUGGUGUAGUGGUUGGAGUAUUGGACCAGGACUCUAGAGACCAAGGUUCAAAUCCUGGCUCGGCCA